AAUGAACGCUGGCGGCGCGCCUAAUACAUGCAAGUCGAGCGAGAAGACGUAGCAAUACGUUUGUAAAGCGGCGAACGGGUGAGGAAUACAUGGGUAACCUACCCUCGAGUGGGGAAUAACUAGCCGAAAGGUUAGCUAAUACCGCGUACGCUUCUUGGACUUCGGUUCAGGGAGGAAAGCGAUACCGUGGGUAUCGCGCUCUUGGAUGGGCUCAUGUCCUAUCAGCUUGUUGGUGAGGUAACGGCUCACCAAGGCUUCGACGGGUAGCUGGUCUGAGAGGACGAUCAGCCACACUGGCACUGCGACACGGGCCAGACUCCUACGGGAGGCAGCAGUAAGGAAUAUUGCGCAAUGGGCGAAAGCCUGACGCAGCGACGCCGCGUGUAGGAUGAAGUCCU
rnacentral:rRNA from 1 species